rnacentral:rRNA from 1 species
AUGAUUCGUGGGACGUCCUGCCGGUGGUGGCGAGUCGAAGGCGUGCACCCGUUGUGGUCUUCCACUUCGGUUCUUGCGCGCCGGAGGCGGACCCCGAUGAAAUCCUACCGCGGUGCUCUUCGCCGAGUGUCGAGGUGGGCCGGCACGUUUACUUUGAACAAAUUAGAGUGCUUAAAGCAGGCCUGUUGCGCCUGAAUACUGUGUGCAUGGAAUAAUGGAAUAGGACCUCGGUUCUAUUUUGUUGGUUUUCGGAACCCGAGGUAAUGAUUAAUAGGGACAGGCGGGGGCAUUCGUAUUGCGACGUUAGAGGUGAAAUUCUUGGAUCGUCGCAAGACGGACCGAAGCGAAAGCAUUUGCCAAGUAUGUUUUCAUUAAUCAAGAACGAAAGUUAGAGGUUCGAAGGCGAUCAGAUACCGCCCUAGUUCUAACCAUAAACGAUGCCAGCUAGCGAUCCGCCGAAGUUCCUCCGAUGACUCGGCGGGCAGCUCCCGGGAAACCAAAGCUUUUGGGUUCCGGGGGAAGUAUGGUUGCAAAGCUGAAACUUAAAGGAAUUGACGGAAGG